UGUGUGUGUGUAUGUGUGUGUGUGUAAAACUUGAACCUACAACGGGCAUAUGGGGAGAGGGAGGGAGGGAGCAAAGAGGGAGGGAGAGCAAGCAGACACAAGAGGAUAAGUGACCAGGGGAAAGUUCCUGGAAGAUUUACUCUAAGCCUUAUUUUGAAGAAUCUACUACUUACCACCCACCAACUCCCUAAAACACCACUGCAACUCCUGAUCAUGCUCUGGUGGGGUUGGGGGAAGGGAACUGAGGGGGAAAUGGCUGUGGGCCUUACAACUUCCCUUUUCAGAUAGAUGUCUUGAGUCUCAGACACAGAUGGCCCGUGUUUUCUUUGGAAAUCCUGCCUGGAAAAGGGCAUCAGCAAACAAGACACAGUUGCAAGGGGUCCUGUUAUUCUUUUACACACUUCACUGUGCAGGACUUCACAGGGCUCAGAAGAACCACUUUCAUUAUGCAAUCACAACUUCAAGUUGUCUGUAGGAUACAUCUGCAUAUGUCUUUACAUUAAUUAAAGUUAUAUUUUCCUUGUCAUGCCACCCCUGUUUAUGCUUUGUGCAAGUCUUCCUUCUGGGGGUUUUGGUGGUGGAGACAUCAGGAGAGGGACACGCACACAAGGAGAAGGACUCCUGAAGGCAGCCAGGAAAGAGGUAGAGGCACCAGCAGGAACUGAAAGCAGCAGCUUUCUGCAGAGGAGUCAGACACCAAGACACAGACGGAUGCUUACAAAGCAGGGAUGGACACCAGCUAAGACACCACACAAAUCCACACAGGUAACAGGACCCAGAAGCCUCAUCUGUCACUCUGUGACGCCUAGAGGGAGGGUUGGCAACCCGACUGUGCAGACAAUGGACAUUGGAAGGCAAGAAGAAGGAAGAACAAAGUGUGGAUGCUUCAGUGCUUCUUAGAAGGGUCACAAAAUACACAGGAGGAAAGUGUGGAGGACAAACUGAAGUGAAAGGCCACCCCAAGACUGCCCCACCUGGGGAUCCAGCCCAUAUACAACCACAAAACCCAGACACUAUUGCUGAUGCUAAGAAGUGCAUGCUGACAGGGACCUGCUACAGCUGUCUCCUGAGAAGAUCUGCCAGAGCAUGACAAAUAUAGAAGUGGAUGCUCACAGCCAACCAUUGUACUAAGAACGGGGUUUCCAAUGGAGGAGUUAGAAAAAGGAUUGAAGGAGUGGAAAGGGUUUUCAACCCCAUAGGAAGAACAAUAUUGACCAACCAGAACCCCCAGAGCUCCCAGGGACUAAACCAUCAACCAGAGAGUACACAUGGAGCGACCCAUGGCUCCAGCCUCAUAUGUAGCAGAGGAUGACCUUGUGGGGCAUCAAUGGGAGGAGAGGCCUCUGGCCCUGUGAAGGCUGGAUGCCCCAAUGUAAGGGAAUGCCAGGGCAGGGGCAGGGAUGUGGGAGGGAGUUGGUCGGUGGGUCAGCGAACACCCUCAUAGAAGCAGGGAGAUGCGAGAUGGGAUAGAGGGUUUCUGAGGGGGAAACCUGGGAAGUGGAUUACAUUUGAAAUGUAAAUAAAGAAAAUAUCUGAUAAAAGGAAAGAAAAAAGAAAAUAUUGCUCCCAUUAGUAGUGUCGGAGAUAGGGAGGGAUUGGGAAGAUGCAGACGCUAAAACAGCAAAUAUAUAAGGUGAACAAGUCCAGAGGGUAAUGUACAACAUGGAGCCAGAUAUCGAAUCCAAGGCUUUUGCUUAAUGACUGGAUUACAGCUGCUCUUGCCAUAGGAAAAUACAUUUGUUUCCUAAAACUUCCCACUAGUACAAAGGAUGUCACGAUUUUCUCAUCAUGUAAAUCAGGUAUUUUUUUAAAUGUGUUCCAUUAUAGAAAAUGCUCUAUAUAGAAUAUAGGUGUUUCUCAUCAGUUACAUAUUUUAAAUAUAUAAUAACAAUUAAAAUAUAUGUGGUAAAAGUA